rnacentral:rRNA from 2 species
GGUUAAGCGACUAAGCGUACACGGUGGAUGCCCUGGCAGUCAGAGGCGAUGAAGGACGUGCUAAUCUGCGAAAAGCGUCGGUAAGGUGAUAUGAACCGUUAUAACCGGCGAUGUCCGAAUGGGGAAACCCAGUGCAAUUCGUUGCACUAUCGUUAACUGAAUACAUAGGUUAACGAGGCGAACCGGGGGAACUGAAACAUCUAAGUACCCCGAGGAAAAGAAAUCAACCGAGAUUCCCCCAGUAGCGGCGAGCGAACGGGGAGCAGCCCAGAGUCUGAAUCAGCUUGUGUGUUAGUGGAACGGUCUGGAAAGUCCGACGGUACAGGGUGAUAGUCCCGUACACCAAAAUGCACAGGUUGUGAACUCGAAGAGUAGGGCGGGACACGUGGUAUCCUGUCUGAAUAUGGGGGGACCAUCCUCCAAGGCUAAAUACUCCUGACUGACCGAUAGUGAACCAGUACCGUGAGGGAAAGGCGAAAAGAACCCCGGCGAGGGGAGUGAAAAAGAACCUGAAACCGUGUACGUACAAGCAGUGGGAGCACCUUCGGGUGUGACUGCGUACCUUUUGUAUAAUGGGUCAGCGACUUAUAUUCUGUAGCAAGGUUAACCGUAUAGGGGAGCCGCAGGGAAACCGAGUCUUAACUGGGCGUUAAGUUGCAGGGUAUAGACCCGAAACCCGGUGAUCUAGCCAUGGGCAGGUUGAAGGUUGGGUAACACUAACUGGAGGACCGAACCGACUAAUGUUGAAAAAUUAGCGGAUGACUUGUGGCUGGGGGUGAAAGGCCAAUCAAACCGGGAGAUAGCUGGUUCUCCCCGAAAGCUAUUUAGGUAGCGCCUCGUGAACUCAUCUUCGGGGGUAGAGCACUGUUUCGGCUAGGGGGUCAUCCCGACUUACCAACCCGAUGCAAACUACGAAUACCGAAGAAUGUUAUCACGGGAGACACACGGCGGGUGCUAACGUCCGUCGUGAAGAGGGAAACAACCCAGACCGCCAGCUAAGGUCCCAAAGUCAUGGUUAAGUGGGAAACGAUGUGGGAAGGCACAGACAGCCAGGAUGUUGGCUUAGAAGCAGCCAUCAUUUAAAGAAAGCGUAAUAGCUCACUGGUCGAGUCGGCCUGCGCGGAAGAUGUAACGGGGCUAAACCAUGCACCGAAGCUGCGGCAGCGACACUAUGUGUUGUUGGGUAGGGGAGCGUUCUGUAAGCCUGCGAAGGUGACCUGUGAGGGUUGCUGGAGGUAUCAGAAGUGCGAAUGCUGACAUAAGUAACGAUAAAGCGGGUGAAAAGCCCGCUCGCCGGAAGACCAAGGGUUCCUGUCCAACGUUAAUCGGGGCAGGGUGAGUCGACCCCUAAGGCGAGGCCGAAAGGCGUAGUCGAUGGGAAACAGGUUAAUAUUCCUGUACUUGGUGUUACUGCGAAGGGGGGACGGAGAAGGCUAUGUUAGCCGGGCGACGGUUGUCCCGGUUUAAGCAUGUAGGCUGAUUAUCCAGGCAAAUCCGGAUAAUCAAGGCUGAGGUGUGAUGACGAGGCACUACGGUGCUGAAGUAACAAAUGCCCUGCUUCCAGGAAAAGCCUCUAAGCAUCAGGUAACAUCAAAUCGUACCCCAAACCGACACAGGUGGUCAGGUAGAGAAUACCAAGGCGCUUGAGAGAACUCGGGUGAAGGAACUAGGCAAAAUGGUGCCGUAACUUCGGGAGAAGGCACGCUGGUGUGUAGGUGAAGUCCCUGCGGAUGGAGCUGAGACCAGUCGAAGAUACCAGCUGGCUGCAACUGUUUAUUAAAAACACAGCACUGUGCAAACACGAAAGUGGACGUAUACGGUGUGACGCCUGCCCGGUGCCGGAAGGUUAAUUGAUGGGGUUAUCCGUAAGGAGAAGCUCUUGAUCGAAGCCCCGGUAAACGGCGGCCGUAACUAUAACGGUCCUAAGGUAGCGAAAUUCCUUGUCGGGUAAGUUCCGACCUGCACGAAUGGCGUAAUGAUGGCCAGGCUGUCUCCACCCGAGACUCAGUGAAAUUGAACUCGCUGUGAAGAUGCAGUGUACCCGCGGCAAGACGGAAAGACCCCGUGAACCUUUACUAUAGCUUGACACUGAACAUUGAGCCUUGAUGUGUAGGAUAGGUGGGAGGCUUUGAAGCGUGGACGCCAGUCUGCGUGGAGCCAACCUUGAAAUACCACCCUUUAAUGUUUGAUGUUCUAACGUUGGCCCCUUACCGGGGUUGCGGACAGUGUCUGGUGGGUAGUUUGACUGGGGCGGUCUCCUCCCAAAGCGUAACGGAGGAGCACGAAGGUUAGCUAAUCCUGGUCGGACAUCAGGAGGUUAGUGCAAUGGCAUAAGCUAGCUUGACUGCGAGCGUGACGGCGCGAGCAGGUGCGAAAGCAGGUCAUAGUGAUCCGGUGGUUCUGAAUGGAAGGGCCAUCGCUCAACGGAUAAAAGGUACUCCGGGGAUAACAGGCUGAUACCGCCCAAGAGUUCAUAUCGACGGCGGUGUUUGGCACCUCGAUGUCGGCUCAUCACAUCCUGGGGCUGAAGUAGGUCCCAAGGGUAUGGCUGUUCGCCAUUUAAAGUGGUACGCGAGCUGGGUUUAGAACGUCGUGAGACAGUUCGGUCCCUAUCUGCCGUGGGCGCUGGAGAAUUGAGGGGGGCUGCUCCUAGUACGAGAGGACCGGAGUGGACGCAUCACUGGUGUUCGGGUUGUCAUGCCAAUGGCACUGCCCGGUAGCUAAAUGCGGAAGAGAUAAGUGCUGAAAGCAUCUAAGCACGAAACUUGCCCCGAGAUGAGUUCUCCCUGAGACUUUAAGUCUCCUGAAGGAACGUUGAAGACGACGACGUUGAUAGGCCGGGUGUGUAAGCGCAGCGAUGCGUUGAGCUAACCGGUACUAAUGAACCGUGAGGCUUAACCUU